rnacentral:misc_RNA from 1 species
GAUGAAGAACGUAGCGAAACGCGAUAGUUAAUGUGAAUUGCAGAAUUCAGUGAAUCAUCGAAUCUUUGAACGCACAUUGCGCCCGCCAGUAUUCUGGCGGGCAUGCCUGUUCGAGCGUCAUUUCAACCAUCAAGCCCCCCGGCUUGUGUUGGGGACCUGCGGCUGCCGCAGGCCCUGAAAAGCAGUGGCGGGCUCGCUGUCACACCGAGCGUAGUAGAUCUCAUCUCGCUCAGGGCGUGCUGCGGGUUCCGGCCGUUAAACCACCUUCAUAACCCAAGGUUGACCUCGGAUCAGGUAGGAAGACCCGCUGAACUUAAGCAUAUCAAUAAGCGGAGGA